AACGAACGCUGGCGGCGUGCUUAACACAUGCAAGUCGAACGGCCCGGCCCUGCUUUUGUGGGCUGCUCGAUUGCCCAACGGGUGAUUACCACUUGUGUAACCUGCCCUUGACUUUCUGAUACCUUCACGAAACUGGCGCUAAUACCGGAUAGUAUCUCCUCCUGCAUUGUGGGGGUUGGUAAUUUUCGGCGGUUGGGGAUGGCAUCGCGGCUUAUCAGCUUGUUGUUGGGGUAGGGGCUUGGCAAGGCUUUGACGGGUAGCUGGCCUGCGAGGGUGACCGGACACACUGGGACGGGGAUAAGGCCCAGACUCGAACGGGAGGGAGCAGUGGGGAAUAGUGCACAAUGGGAGGAAGCCUGAUGCAGUAACGCCGCGUGGGGGAAGACGGCAUGCGGGUAGUAAACCGCAGUCGCUUGGGACGAAGCGAGAGUGACGGUAAUGGGUAAAGAAGCACCGGCUAACUACGUG
rnacentral:rRNA from 1 species